rnacentral:lncRNA from 1 species
GCUCACUCCAUCACGUCAAAGACGCUACUCCUGGUUGCUAUUCUGGAGCUGUUUCUUCAGCCCAAAGCUGCACAUUAAUUAUUUUAAUUGCAGGAGAAAUGCUGAAGUCUGCAGCUACAAUAAUCACCUCAUUUAGGAGGAACUUCAUCAGGACAAACAACAACAAAUCUCCCCCAGAACUGUAACCUUACUGACUUUCAGCCCUCAUCUCUAAUUGCCAAACCACAGCCUUGUUCCUUUUACAAGCCAUUCACUACUGACUGAAGCAGAGGUAUGGGUGCAAAUCUAUGUUUUCUUUAAACAAAAGGAAAAAAAAAAUCGACGCAAUACGCCUGAUGCAGCACAUGAACACCAAGAUCUCUCUUCGUUAAUAAUAUAUGAUACAAUGAGGAUGAAGGGUUACAAGAACAGCAUUUUCUCUAUACACAGCUUCUGAGAAAGAUCUCAACCUGAAAACCAAUGGAUUGGAGGUGCUCAGCUCCUCCUGUGCUGGGAAAGAGCAGUGAAUGCAGAAAACUCUCUGGGGUCUCCAGGAUCACCAAGCCAGCAGCAGGCAAAAUAUGCCAGGCUGACAUCCCUGGUAGUGAAGAUGCCGCCCUGCCUGUGCUACCUGGGAGGGCAGAAAGACAGCAGAAUACACUUUUGCAAGGGUCCUCUGUCAAAACAAGCAAAACGAAUGAACAAGAAAGUCGAGACCUGGCAUGUAAAAUUCCCAUGCUCCAAACUCAUGCAGUUAUCAAAGAGAAAGAGAGGAAAUUCAGGCCGAGAAGGAGGGGUGAGGAAAGCUUUGAUUUCGGAAAGUUGCACUGGGGGGCUGACGAAGGAAUGAAAGCAUUGCCAGUGCACCAGGGAGCUUUGAGUUAAACACCAGGAAACGACUAUCAAAAUACAGACAGGUGAAAUUGUAACGCGACGAAACCCAAGCGCUGAAUAAUAUUCUGCUGGGGAUUGUUUUACCGUACCCCAAGGAGCAAAUUUCAGAUUGUCUCUGCUUGAAAAUCCUUUAUGCAAAGAAGACCUUUGGCAACUCAUAUCUGGAUUUGCCAUUACAAAGCAACUUUAAUCCUCGGUGACUGCAAAGCACUUCCUAGGCUUACCUUCUGCUGCCACGCGGAAACGGGCAGGAGGAGGGGACAGUUUUUUGGAACGUGUCUCGAAGGCCUGUGUUAUAAUGGAAACAUCGAUGCUGCGAUCAGAGAGUGGCUGCAGACCAUGCAGGUAUGCCUGUAAGAGCUUUAAAAGCUGUCCUGGGGACAGAGAACAGGGCAGCAUCCACAAUGUGAGUGCUGCAGUGCCAGCUGCAAACCCUGCCUGAGACACAGCAAAAAGUGCGGUGGUUAGCACAUGCAGAACCCCUGCAAUUAGUGCUACUGGUGACUGGCG